CCUACGGGAGGCAGCAGUGGGGAAUAUUGGACAAUGGGCGCAAGCCUGAUCCAGCAAUACCGCGUGGGUGAUGAAGGUCUUCGGAUUGUAAAGCCCUUUUAGUAGAGAAGAUAAUGACGGUAUCUACAGAAAAAGCACCGGCAAACUUCGUGCCAGCAGCCGCGGUAAUACGAAGGGUGCUAGCGUUGUUCGGAAUCACUGGGCGUAAAGGGUACGUAGGCGGUUUGGUAAGUCGAUUGUGAAAGCCCCAGGCUCAACCUGGGAACUGCAAUCGAAACUACUUUACUUGAGUUUGGUAGGGGAUGGUGGAAUUCCUAGUGUAGGGGUGAAAUCCGUAGAGAUUAGGAAGAACACCAGUGGCGAAGGCGACCAUCUAUGCCAAUACUGACGCUGAGGUACGAAAGCGUGGGGAGCAAACAGGAUUAGAUACCCUGGUAGUCCACGCCCUAAACGAUGAAUGCUAGUUGUCGGGGCCUUAGGCUUCGGCGGCGAAGUUAACACGAUAAGCAUUCCGCCGGGGAGUACGGUCGCAAGACUAAAACUCAAAGAUAGUAGCGNGNGAGNGCGACGAACGACGACGAGAGGUAGAG
rnacentral:rRNA from 1 species